UACGAAGGGGCUAGCGUUUGCUCGGAAUCACUGGGCGUAAAGGGUGCGUAGGCGGGUCUUUUAAGUCAGGGGUGAAAUCCUGGAGCUCAACUCCAGAACUGCCUUUUGAUACUGAAGAUCUUGAGUUUCGGGAGAGGUGAGUGGAACUGCGAGUGUAGAGGUGAAAUUCGUAGAUAUUCGCAAGAACACCAGUGGCGAAGGCGGCUCACUGGCCCGAUACUGACGCUGAGGCACGAAAGCGUGGGGAGCAAACAGG
rnacentral:rRNA from 1 species